CUUUUUGUGGGUAAAAUUUGUCUUUCCAUUUACGGGAAAACUCUUUCGUUUUCACUAAUUAAUCUUUUUAAGUGUAUGAUUUGUCAUUUUAAUUUUGUCCCUUCCUUUAUCUUCUUGUUCCUGGGACAUAGAAAUUGACAGAAGAGAGUGAGCACACAGAGACAGUUGUAUAAAGUUAUAUUUCUGCACUUGCGUGCUCACUUCUCUUUCUGUCACCUUCCAGCUCCUGGAAUUUGAUCUCUUCCCCGAUCUGUUCUUGGGCUGUUUUUGUUCCAAUUUAACUGCUCAUCUUUCUCCUCUCUUCCAACCAGAAGAAAAUCACAGAAGCAAGCAAAGAUCAGAAGUGGACAAACUCUGAUGCAUAUGUAGUUUUACUGUAAUUGAUUUUUCUUAUGUGGGUCGUUGGAGUUUUGAUUAUUUUAUGCAUCGAAUUAUUAUAUUUUAUGGAGUUAAUAUAACUGAUCCGAGCGUGUCUUUUGAUGGUGUUUUAUAAUUUUAUUAAUUUUAUCUUUUAUGUCAAAGGUGAAUACAUAGGUCUGAUUACUGUGCGGAUUUAGCGCCAAAACAGCGUGUAAUAGCAUGGGACCAUCACGUUUAAGCUAUCUUUUGCUUAUAGUCUGGUCCUCACUACUCAAAAAUCAUUUGUGUUUAAUUUGUUUCUUUGCUUCUUUUUAGUCAAGCUUCUUGCUAUUAUCAUCAUCAAUAGUACAGUUACCCCUUUUUUAUAUGUUUAUAUAUAUAUACGCAUGCUAUCAUCUACUUGUUUUUUCACCUGAAUCUAACAAGAUUCCACUUGCUUGUACCGUUACUGAUGAUGGUUUUUUUUAAACAAAAAAAAAACAUCUUAAAACCCUAUCCUGGCAAAGAUCAACUUUGCUUGUAUGGAACCAAGGAAAAUCUUUUUGAAAAGACUUGUUUUUUUUCUUUUUUUGUAAUUGCAGAUUUAACCCAAGUUGGAUAAUUCACAAGCAGAAUUAAUGGUUAAAGAAAGGUUUGGAUGGAUGUAGAUUUGUGUUUUCUAUUUGGGUUUUGUCAUAUGAGUGUGAUUUUUACUGUAAAAAGCAACGAUUUUCUCUCUGUAUCAUAGGGGUUCCUUCGGUAUAUGUACGUAUAUGUAUGUACAUAUACACGAGUGUUUGUCUGUUGUAUCUUUUUUUUUUAGUUCUCUUGUUUUUGUCAUUGAUGAUUUUGCAGAUGGCGAUGAUGAUGAUGAUGAUGAUGAUGAUGAUGAUGAUGAAUUCGUAAGUAGAGCAACGAUCAGCUCAAUUCUUGUCCUAUAUACUGUGACUGUUGCUGGAAAUUUCAGAAGAUACUUCAGGCAUCAAUAUUCUCCUUUUCCGGUAUUCUCCUUUGUUUCUUCAGUUGGUUUAGAGACAACAAAUUAAAUUCUUAAAGCUAAUCCAUGGAAUACUCAACGAGUUGGGGAGUUGCCAUCCGUCGCUUCAUGACAAAGGUGUUGGUUUUUCAGAGAAUAUGAAAUAUCUAAGCUGCUGAGAUGCUCUCUCCAUGCUAUUAUACAUUUAUGUCAAUAUGUAUCUUCUUUCCCGCCGUAAUUUAAUGGAAGGGAACUCAUUGGUUGUUUUUGACAAUUUUAUCUGUGUACAAUUAGCUCUCAACAGAUUGCCAAUCAAAUGAAGCAAUUACAUAGUUUUCUCAUUUGAUAGUCUCCUAACCUAGUUAGCAAAUUGUUAUCUAUUACGAAAGAGGAUGUUAAUCUGUGAACAAUAACAGCUAUGUUUCUAA